GGGAGCGGAGCGGGUCUGGUGGCCCGGCCGGUCUUCAAAACCGUGACCGGGGCGGUUCUGCCGUCCCGGGUGGGUUCGAUUCCCACACGCUCCCGCCA
rnacentral:tRNA from 1 species